GUGGGGAAUAUUGGGCAAUGGGCGAAAGCCUGACCCAGCAACGCCGCGUGAAGGAAGAAGGUUUUCGGAUCGUAAACUUCUAUCCUUGGUGAAGAUAAUGACGGUAGCCAAGAAGGAAGCCCCGGCUAACUACGUGCCAGCAGCCGCGGUAAUACGUAGGGGGCAAGCGUUGUCCGGAAUGAUUGGGCGUAAAGGGCGCGUAGGCGGCCCGGUAAGUCUGAAGUGAAAGUCCUGCUUUUAAGGUGGGAAUUGCUUUGGAUACUGUCGGGCUUGAGUGCAGGAGAGGUAAGCGGAAUUCCCGGUGUAGCGGUGAAAUGCGUAGAGAUCGGGAGGAACACCAGUGGCGAAGGCGGCUUACUGGACUGUAACCGACGCUGAGGCGCGAAAGUGUGGGGAGCAAACAGGAUUAGAUACCCUUGUAGUCC
rnacentral:rRNA from 1 species